rnacentral:rRNA from 1 species
CCAAGGGAAAUAAGCGCAGACGGUGGAUGCCUUGGCAAUCAGAGGCGAUGAAAGACGUGAUAGCCUGCGAAAAGCUUCGGGGAGCUGGCAAAUGAGCAUUGAUCCGAAGGUGUCUGAAUGGGGGAACCCAACUAGGAUAACCUAGUUAUCCUACCACUUUUGAUAUUCUAUAGAUUAGCUGAACUAAUACAUGAGAUACGAGAGUAUGGAGUGAGAUCUGUUUUGUUAAUUUUGAUGGGAUAUAAAAAGUGGUAGGAGGCGAACGUGGGGAACUGAAACAUCUAAGUACCCAUAGGAAAAGAAAUCAACCGAGAUUCCCUAAGUAGCGGCGAGCGAACGGGGAUUAGCCUGGUAUAUUUUAGCAUAGUUAUUAGUGGAGCAUUCUGGGAAGGAUGGCCAUAGAAGGUGAUAGCCCUGUACACGAAAGUGAUUAUGUGGAACUAGAUAUACGACUAAGUAGGGCGGGACACGAGAAAUCCUGUUUGAAGAUGGGGGGACCAUCCUCCAAGGCUAAAUACUACUGAUUGACCGAUAGUGAACCAGUACCGUGAGGGAAAGGCGAAAAGAACCCCAAUAAGGGGAGUGAAAUAGAACCUGAAACCGUCUGCGUACAAGCAGUGGGAGCAUGAUUGAGUCAUGUGACUGCGUACCUUUUGUAUAAUGGGUCAGCGAGUUGAUUAUAGUGGCGAGGAUAACCGUAUAGGGGAUCCGAAGGGAAACCGAGUUUUAAUAGGGCGUUAAGUCGCUAUGAUCAGACCCGAAACCGGCGCGAUCUAUCCAUGGCCAGGUUGAAGGUUGGGUAACACCAACUGGAGGACCGAACCCGGUAAUGUUGCAAAAUUAUGGGAUGAGCUGUGGAUCGGAGUGAAAGGCUAAUCAAGCACGGAGAUAGCUGGUUCUCCCCGAAAACUAUUUAGGUAGUGCCUUGUGAAUGACUCGUUGGGGUAAAGCACUGUUUCGACUAGGGGGGUUUUGCGACCUUACCGACUCGAUGCAAACUCAGAAUACGACGAAGUUUUAUCACAGGAGACACACUGCGGGUGCUAAGGUCCGUAGUGGAGAGGGAAAGAGCCCAGACCGCCAGCUAAGGUCCCCAAGUUAUCGCUAAGUGGGAAACGAAGUGGGAAGGCCCAGACAGCCAGGAGGUUGGCUUAGAAGCAGCCAACCUUUAAAGAAAGCGUAAUAGCUCACUGGUCGAGUCGGCCUGCACGUAAGAUUUAACGGGGCUAAGCGAUACACCGAAGCUGCGGAUAAUAUUUAUAUUAUGGUAGGGGAGCGUUCUGUAAGCUGAUGAAGGUGACUUGAGAAGGUUGCUGGAGGUAUCAGAAGUGCGAAUGCUGACAUGAGUAACGUAAAAAUAAGUGAGAUUCUUAUUGGCCGGAAGUCCAAGGAUUCCUACGCAAUGUUAAUCAACGUAGGGUAAGUCGGCCCCUAAGGCGUAGCUGAAGAGUGAAGUCGAUGGGAAUCAGGUUAAUAUUCCUGAACCGAUAAUUAUUGUGAUGGAGAGACGGAGAAAGCUAGAUCUGCCUGGUGGAUGGUAAUCCAGGUGAAAGUAUGUAGGUAGUGUUAUUAGGCAAAUCCGGUAGCAUGUUGAUCUGAGAUACGAGACGAAGUGGAACUUGUUCCACGAAGAGGUUGAUGCUCUGCUUCCAGGAAAAACUUCUAAACGUAGAUAAUUAUUGACCGUACUGUAAACCGACACAGGUGGACAGGUAGAGAAUACCAAGGCGAUGAGAGAACCCAGGUGAAGGAACUAGGCAAAAUGACACCGUAACUUCGGGAGAAGGUGUGCCUGAUUUGGUGAUAGGAUUUACUCCUUAAGCUGGAUUGGGUUGCAGAGUCCAGGUGGCUGCGACUGUUUACUAAAAACAUAGCACUCUGCGAACUCGUAAGAGGAAGUAUAGGGUGUGACGCCUGCCCGGUGCCGGAAGGUUAAUUGAAGGGGUUAGCGUAAGCGAAGCUCUGGAUCGAAGCCCCGGUAAACGGCGGCCGUAACUAUAACGGUCCUAAGGUAGCGAAAUUCCUUGUCGGGUAAGUUCCGACCUGCACGAAUGGCGUAACGAUGGCCACACUGUCUCCAUCUGGGACUCAGUGAAAUUGAAAUCGCAGUGAAGAUGCUGCGUACCCGCGGUUAGACGGAAAGACCCCGUGAACCUUUACUAUAGCUUUGCACUGGACUUUGAUGAUAUUUGUGUAGGAUAGGUGGGAGACAAUGAAGAUAAGACGCUAGUUUUAUUGGAGUCGACCUUGAAAUACCACCCUGAUAUUGUUGGAGUUCUAACUCAGGUGAAUGCCGAGGACAGUGUAUGGUGGGUAGUUUGACUGGGGCGGUCUCCUCCCAAAGAGUAACGGAGGAGUACGAAGGUGCACUCGGUGCGGUCGGAAAUCGCACCAAGAGUAUAAAGGCAAAAGUGCGCUUAACUGCGAGAGUGACGGCUCGAGCAGGUACGAAAGUAGGUCUUAGUGAUCCGGUGGCACUGAAUGGAAGGGCCAUCGCUCAACGGAUAAAAGGUACUCCGGGGAUAACAGGCUGAUUCCUCCCAAGAGUUCAUAUCGACGGAGGAGUUUGGCACCUCGAUGUCGGCUCAUCACAUCCUGGGGCUGAAGCAGGUCCCAAGGGUAUGGCUGUUCGCCAUUUAAAGUGGUACGCGAGCUGGGUUUAGAACGUCGUGAGACAGUUCGGUCCCUAUCUGCCGUGGGCGUAGGAGAUUUGAGAGGGUUUGCUCCUAGUACGAGAGGACCGGAGUGAACGAACCACUGGUGUUUGGGUUGUUUCGCCAGAAGCACUGCCCAGUAGCUACGUUCGGACGGGAUAACCGCUGAAAGCAUCUAAGCGGGAAGCCUUCCUCAAGAUGAGAUCUCCCGGGAAUUAAAUUCCCCUAAAGGGUUGUUGAAGACUACGACGUUGAUAGGCUGGAUGUGUAAGUGCAGUAAUGUAUGAAGCUAACCAGUACUAAUUGCCCGAGAGACUUGGUUAU